rnacentral:rRNA from 1 species
CGAGAGGGAAACACCCGGUCCCAUCCCGAACCCGGAAGUUAAGCCUCUCAGCGCCGAUGGUACUGCAUGGGGGACUGUGUGGGAGAGUAGGACGCCGCCGGAC